UAUCCACGUGGUCUUGUCUGCCCUACCCCUAGAGUGUAUAUAAAUAAUCGGAGGCGCGGAGGAAGAGCAGCCCCCACCCGCCGUAACAAAGCACAGGCAUGAAAUGCCUGUGCUUUGGUACGCAAGGGUGAAGGGGCUGCGUUUUCCGUAGCGCCGGAGCCGUUCAUAAACCGAAUGAUUAUCUAGUUCGGUUAGGUUAGGUUAGUAUAUGAAUUUCUUUUUUCCAAGAACUGUUUCUGAAAUCAUCAAUAAACAUAUAAAAAACUAAUAUUUAUAUCAUAUUAUUAUAUUAUAUUUGAAUAAAAUUCAAGUUUUUAUUCUAAAAAAACUAUCGACAAAUUAAAAAAACGAUUUUGAUGCAAAAUGUCACGUCUCUAAUAACUAAUGGAAUCUGUAUGGCUAAAGUCCUUUGCCUUUCCCAUUAGGGAUAAAUUGAAAAUAAAAAAAAAUAAGCAAUGGAAAAUGUACGAUUUAUUUACGAAUUUCUAUACAUUAUACAGGUUUAAAUAAUCUUUAUUAAUAUUUAGACGGAACUCCGGCAGAAAAAAUAACUUGGAGGUGUUCCAUUCAAGGUUGGGAAUGACACAGGGGGUAUUUCUCCAUCCCCUCUUCCAUCUCCCAUCAAAAAAACCUCAAAAAUCGACGGGUCAUAUUGGAAAGUUUAACC